ensembl:lncRNA
GCAUCCUAGGACCCUAAUCUAACCUCAGGAGAUUCGAGUUUCAUUCUUAUUUUUGCUACAAUACUCACUCCAUGUGCAUCUUUUGUGUUUCUAAAUAUCGAAAUCAGAAUACAUGUCCAUAUCUGUUAGUGAAAUAGAGGAAGCUGUAACUGUAUAGUAUUUCCAGACAAUGAAUAUACAGUAGAUUUUGCAUGUAAUUUUUAUCUCCUUCCAUCAAGUGUAACAAUAUGUUGAAUCUGCCAUGGGCCUUUAAAGCUUCAAUGUUGUGAAGAGCUCUGCAUGAAAUUUUAAAGAGACUGGACCUUUCGUCUGCACAGCAGCAGGACUCCUCGCUGUAGGGACAAGAAAGGAAGAGACAGACAGAACAUUUCUGAAGUAAUAGUGAAAAAUAACAGCAGAAGCAAUUAUUUCAUCAAAGAUCCCAGGAGGAGGCUCCUCCAGGCUCCUGAGAGGCCACACACAGGGUCCCCAGCACAGCUUACUGCUUAGUGUCUCCUGUGCCAUGGAGGAAGACAUGUGGCAGGAGUACCCAGUGCUAAUAUGUGUUCAUGUCUGUGGCAAUGCUGACCAUCCGGCUGGUUUGAACCAGGAUAAAAGUGAAGAUGUCAUCUGUGAAGACCCAACUCUUUCUUUGGCUCUUCUGUGGAAUCCAUCUUUGUUCUGCUGUCCUCUGCUGCCCAGUGUCUACUUCUGUCAAGAUCUACUUGAAGAAGAAGAUCAGGCUGGGGGCGGUGGCUCACGCCUGUAAUCCCAGCACUUUGGAAGGCUGAGAUGGGAGGAUCACUUGAGGCCAGGAGUUCAAGACCAGCCUGGGUAAUGUGGUGAAGCCUUAUCGCUACAAGAAAAUACAAUAAUUAGCCAGGCAUGUUGGCACAUGCCUGCAGUUCCAGCUGCUUGGCAGCCUGAGGUCAGAGGAUCACUUGAGCCUGGGAGGUCGAAGCUGCAGUGAGUUGAGAUUGCACCACUGCACUCCAGCCUGGGCAACAGAGUGAGACACUGUUUUUUUUUUUUUUUUUUUUUUUUAAGGCUGGGUGCAGUGGUCCACGCCUGUAAUUCCAUCACUUUGGGAGGCUGAGGCGGGCAGAUCACCUGAGGUCAGGAGUUCGAGACCAGCCUGGCCAACAUAGUGAAACCAGCUCUACUAAAAAUACAAAAAUUAGCCAGGCAUGGUGGCACAUGCCUGUAGUCCCAGCUACUUUAAAGGCUGAGGCAGGAGAAUCGCUUGAACUUGGGAGGCCGAGGUUGGAGUGAGCUGAGAUCAUUGCGGCACUGCACUCCAGCCUGGGUGACAGAGUGAGACUCUUGUCUCAAAAAAAAAAAAAAAAAAAAAAAAAAAGAAAAGAAAGAGGAUUAGAUAAAUUCAUUCAUGUGGAGUAGAAUGUCUGAGGUUUACUUUUUGACCGUUUUCAGAAAAGAUUGGUGAAGGCACUAGAAGGUCAUGUCAUGAUUUCACAGAAGGUGAAGGUGCCCUGACUGCUUGGUAUUGGGAAAGGUAGGAAGAUGGGGUGGGGCAUGACAUCUACAAGGCUACUGUGAGAGGAUGCAGAGCGUAGCAGAGAGUGUACCGUCAUACGAUGUAAUCAGCACUGAUCAUGAGAGCUGUGGGCUGAGUGCGGGAGCUCAUGCCUGUAAUCCCAGCACUGGGAGACUCAAAAAAGCCAGAGGAUUUUUUGAGUCCAAGAGUUUGAGACCAGCCUGGGCAAUGUAGUGAGACCCCAUGUCUACAAAAACAUAAUAAUAAUGAGAACUAUAGUUAUUAUAAAGAGGAAGAGGGAUUCAGUCUAUGGCCCCCAAAAUAAAAAGAACAGAUGAGUGGAAGAUCUCAAGGAUGCAGAUUCCAGUUGGAUAGGAGGAAAAACAAUAUUCAAACAGAGCUUUCUAAAAAUUAAAUGGGCCAUCCCAGGAGAGGACUUUCCAGUCGUUGGUGUGGUUGUAUGUAAUUCAGAUCUGUCACUCCCAAACCAGGCACACGUCAGAAAAUCUGGGUGGGGGGCUCGUUAAAAAUACUCCAGUGUUUCUGACUUAGUAGGUCUGGAUGUGGCUCAGAACCUGUAUUUUUAUCAGCACCUGGGUUAUUCUGAGGCAGCUCGUCCAUGAACCAGCAUUUGGAAAUCACUUGUCCAUAUGACCACCUGAUGAAGACAUUAUGAAGGGAAGUGAGGUGUUGGGCAGAAGAUUGGGGAAAGAUUCAAUUUCAUUUCAUUAAAUAUAUUUUUAGAAUGUUUUUGGAACACGUGAUUCCUAUUCUCUUUUCCCAUUUUAUUAGGAAUGUUUUCAAACACACAAAAAGUUGAAAAAAUUUUAUAGUGAACACCCAUAUACCCACCACCUAGAUUCUCUUAUUGACAUUUUACUAUACUUAUUUUGUCACAUAUAUAUUGAGAUGAAGUUUACAUACAAUAAAAUGUACACACUUGAGUGUGGCGCUUCUAUGAUUAGGAAGGAUGAAAAUGUGCUUUGGAGACAAGGUGGGUGGGUGGAUGUUGAUGAGCAAGUAACAAGAUCAAUGGCUGGAAAGUUGAGAGAGGUGAGAGGAUGUGCAAGGUAUGUAUCAAAUUGGGCUAUUGAGGAGGACAUUUGAGAUGGAGAUAAAGUCUAUGCUUAUUAUGAUGAAUUCUCUAUUUGUGAAGUUGCCUAUUUGCAAAAAUUUCCUUUUUGCAACCACACCAAAGAUUGGAAAGUCCUCUCCUGGGUAGGCCCAUUGCAUUUUUAGGAAGUUCUAUUAGAAUGUUGUUUUUCUCCCCAUCCAACUAGAAUCCGCAUCCCUGAGAUCCUCCAAAUCAGUACUUGUGGUGCCUUUGCAGUCAUUUGCGGACAUGCAUAGAGCAAUGAAAAAUUUGUUGAUAAAAAUACAGAUUCUGAGCCCCAUCUAGAUCUACUAAGUCAGAAACACUGGAGUAUUUUUAACAAGCUUCCCACCCAGAUUUUCUGAUGUGUACCUGAUUUGGGAGUGACAGAUCUGAAUUACAUACAAGUCAAAGAUUGGAGAGUCCUCUCCUAGUUCGGCCCAUUUCAUUUUUAGAAAGCUCUAUUAGAAUGUUGUUUUUCCUCCCAUCCCACUAGAAUCUGCAUCCCUGAGAUCCCCCAAAUCAGUACUCAUGGUGCCUUUGCAGUUGUUUGUGGAUAAGCAUAGAGUGAUGAAGAAUUUGAGUUAUCCGACAUGAAUGUUCCCAGAUGAUGUUGAAUAAGGUAACGCUCUGUCUUCUUAUUUCAGCCCUUGUAAAUAAGUGUUUUUAAAUUUGCAAUCUGCUUAGUGCCAUAUUUUCCACAUUUUUGUGCUAUUUCCUAGUGAUUUUGCUGUUUAAAAUGCCUCCUUCCUCCGAAGCUUCGUAUUGAAGUGGUGUCCGGUAUUCCUAAGCAGAAGGCUGCGAAGUGUCUUACAGAGAAAAUAUGUGUGUUAGAUAAGCAUUGUUCAGGUAGGAGUUAAGGUGCUUUAGUUCUCAGUUCAAUGUUAAUGAAUCAAUAAUAUGUUAAAUAAGGUUUAUUUAAAUGAACACAUAAAGUAAGUUUAUGUCUUGAUUGAUAGAAACGUUGUGAUCAACAUUUGCAGGAACCCAACUCUGUAUUUCUCCUGGGAUCCAUGGUUCAGUGUUCCCUAAUUCAGUGUUUCCGUUAUGUUCAGUAGAACGUAACUACCAAUAAUAGAUUGUAACACCUUGGGUGGGUCAAAGAAAUGGAUUGGACACUUCAGUGUUUCUCAUCUUUGAAGCUCUGAUACUUGGAAUUUUCUUAGGCGCAGAUGUAUUUGCAAGAGCACACUGGCAAAUCCUAGGCUUUAGAGUGUGACGUUUUGUGGAAUAAUUAGUCUACUUGUAUGAGAAGUUGGCAGGCUAAACAUUCCAUUUAUUUAAACAUUCUGCUAAACUAAUAAUUUGGGGAUUAUGUUCUUUGAUUUCAUAGAUAUUUGUUGUGUGAAAAUGUGCUGCAUUUCUCUUAAAUAUAAUCCUAGUAGAAGAAUGGUUUACAUACCCGAUCAUACCACCUUUUUACUGUGGCUUUAUAUAGAGAUUUGUUUGUUUUCAUACCUUUCAAGAUUACUUCUUGUCCAGAGCCUGACUCCUGGAGCUGGAAUUAGAACUGGGUAUGCAGCUUAUGAGAAGGGGAUAAAGUGAUAGUUGUGGAACCAGAGAGAUAAAUAUGUCAGGGAACCUCAGACCUGGCCCCACCUACAGGUGUGUGAGGCCAGAAAGGUGAAGCUGAGCCCAGUGGGGAACAAGCAGCUGAGAGUGUGGAUGAAGGUCAAGGUUGAGUUCAGCAAUGGACUCCACAUCUUUUACUGCAGGCUCCCUCUUUUUGGGCCUGGGACCUAAAUGUAGCAGGUCAGAGCUGGACAUUCCUAGAUAUUUUUAUUAUUUUAACAUUAGUAACCAAAUAUUUGAUUAUGUGUCUGUUGUGUAUGAGAUAUAAAAUACAGACAUUACGGACCUUAUUUUGAAGGAUCGACAAUCUG